AACGAACGCUGGCGGCAGGCUUAACACAUGCAAGUCGAACGGGCACCUUCGGGUGUCAGUGGCAGACGGGUGAGUAACGCGUGGGAACGUACCCUUCGGUUCGGAAUAACCCAGGGAAACUUGGGCUAACACCGGAUACGUCCGCAAGGAGAAAGAUUUAUCGCCGAAGGAUCGGCCCGCGUCGGAUUAGCUAGUUGGUGGGGUAAUGGCCCACCAAGGCGACGAUCCGUAGCUGGUCUGAGAGGAUGANCAGCCACACUGGGGACUGAGACACGGCCCAGACUCCUACGGGAGGCAGCAGUGGGGAAUAUUGGACAAUGGGCGAAAGCCUGAUCCAGCCAUGCCGCGUGAGUGAAGAAGGCCUUAGGGUUGUAAAGCUCUUUC
rnacentral:rRNA from 1 species